GACGAACCGUGCGAACGUUAUUCGGAAUCACUGGGCUUAAAGCGCGUGUAGGCGGGACGGCACGUCGGUCGCUGAAAUCCCCCGGCUCAACCGGGGAACGGGCGCCGAUACGACCGCCCUGGAGGGGCGUAGGGGGACCUGGAACUUCCGGUGGAGCGGUGAAAUGCGUUGAGAUCGGAAGGAACGCCCGUGGCGAAAGCGAGGUCCUGGACGCCUACUGACGCUGAGACGCGAAAGCCAGGGA
rnacentral:rRNA from 1 species